GGGGAGGUGCCAGAGUGGACGAUUGGGGCCGCCUGCUAAGCGGUUGUCCGGGUGACCGGACCGCAGGUUCGAAUCCUGUCCUCCCCG
rnacentral:tRNA from 1 species